AUGCUGGACGCCAUUUUGUUGCACGUGCUGCUGCAAACUUUGCAGUGCAAAGCCAGGCCGGGGAGCCAUCUUAAGUUGAGGCUGCAUAGGCCUUGUGGUGCAUGUGAUUCAGAUUCUAUUCAGUUGAACCUCUGGUUACAAAGUUGGUUGGACGGUGUUCUCGAAGCUACCAGCAUGAGUUUGACCAGACUGCAGGAGGACAGGAAGACUGGAGUGCCUGGAACAGCUGACUACCUGAAAUGCAGAGGAGAAGGAUGCUGUGGGCAGAAGGAAGAUCAAUUCUCUUCCUCCAUCCUCUCCAUUACUAGAAUGUAUGUCAGUCUACAAACCGACAAGCUGGGCUAUGUUGCAGAUUUCAAACAUUUGGUGGAUCUCUCAUCCUUCAAACAGCAUUUCUGUGUCUGUGGCUAUCUUGAAUUUUGUAUAAGUUACACAACGGUAAACAAGUUGAAGGAACAAUUGUCAGACUUUCUGGAAGUAAAAUAAACCCUGUGAUUAAGAUGUAGACACACUUCUAAGGGUUGCUGCUACAAGGGGGUGGUGCAGACAUUCUUGCACAGCUCAUAACAGUUAACUGUAUCUGGAGCCUUUAACCUUUGGGACAUGUGGCCACAUCUGGAUUUCCACCCCACCCCAACUGACAGCUCACUUACAGUACUUCGCUGAAAUACAUAUAAAAUAGUUUUGCAUCUUAAAACAGGAAAGGAAACACUUUUGAACAAGGGAUACAUGGAAAAUGGUGGCACAUUUGAAUUUUUGGAAAAAAUGGCAUGGGUACCACCACAAAAUAUUGGCUAUGGGGCAUGGCUAUUCACAUGUCUCCCUCUAAAAACUUCUGGCCUAUGGGUCUCAUUAGGCUCACCAGGAGUCCUAAUUUGGCCUGCAAUGACAUCUUCCUUCAGCCACACUUGUAGAGCAGGUAAAUCUACAACUGCAGCGGAAUAAAAGGGAGCCUUAAAUUGCACUUCCGAUCGCUCCAACUUUUUAAUGUGCAAACCAAAAAACAGACACAUCCACCUAUCCCUAGUUAUAAUCAGUUUUGCUAGUGUGUAAAUAAGGCUAAAAUGUUGGACCUCUAAUACUGUUAAUAACAAAGCAACCUAAAAUACAACCACUAACAUACACCCAUGUUUCUGACCCGCCCCCUGCCCAAUAUCUCAGUGUAAAGCAAGUUACCUUUCCAUGCAUAAGAAGACGUAUAGUGAGUGUGACAUUGAGGCCCCCUUCCGUCACCUUCGGAUCUUUUGUGUUCAUUCUCGUCCAAUAUCUGCAAUUGUUGAAUAGAGCGUUUCAGGGUGAUUUCUCCCCUGCACUUAACAUAGAAAGACAGAAGGUUACCAUUCUGAGGUCAAUGCUUCUCAAAAUGUGAAUCAAUUCAUACAAACUACAUAUUUCAGCAUAACUGAAAUAACUACAUAUUUCAUACAAACUACAUAUUUCAGCAAAACUACAUAUUAUAAAGGGCAAAGGCUCUCAACACACAAUCACCAUUUUUGUUUGAGGGUCCCAUAUUCUUAGUAUUCUUCACUUCUGCUCUUUUUAUGACUGAGCUCCUAAUGCUGAUCUCAUUAUUCAACAUGUUCCAGCAAGUGGCAAGAAAUAAGCCUUGAAUAUAUCUUCAUUAUUUCUAGGCUGCCUUUCAGAAGCAAACAUGUCUGUGGGCGAAUCUACAUUUGUUGGUUAUAAUGUUAGAAAUGCGUUAUAAAAAUGUGACACCGCAGAGCAGCGAUCUGCCGGCAAUGGAAAAAUGCAUUGAGCGUUAUAUAACAUUAUAUAACAUUAUUUAGUGCUAUUUUUAAUAACGCUUUUACAGAUCAAUGUAGAUCCAGACGCAUACUCUGAAGUUGGGACCUACAUGCUAUACAGCAAAAACCCAGAACUUUAACAAAUGAUCAGCAUGAUCAUGUGUGAACACAAAAGCUGAAUUUUACAUUCCAACUUGGUGCAGUGUUCUGUUGAAUUGCAGCAAAAAUCAACUGAUUUCUUCUCACUUUCUCCAUCCUUUUCCUUUUUUAUUCUAGUGGAACAAUCUUAUUUUCCCUUCACGUAGCUCCAUAGUGAUCGUAACCUGAUGUCACUGCCAGCAAGAGCGGCAGACGUCUCAAAGACACUGAAGUCAGCCAGUAAUUGUUUUACACUGUAAAUCCUGGGUGCUUGUCUGUUUUUGUCUUGGAAACUCAGAAGUCCCUUAGCUCAGCUUCUUGAAGACCCAAACCCAAAAUAGCACCAGGGUGUCUCUUUAAUUUCUUGUAGCAAACUUAAAUAAUAUCUUAAAUAUCUUAAUAAAUAGGAUGGGAUACUAAUGAAAGCUGAGGUGUCUGGUGGAGAUGAAAAGCAAGAAAUUACACGAAACAAUUAUCCACAUAGAGAGCGAGGCUGCAUAUACACCAUAGAUAUAAAGCACACUUCAAGUGCUCCCUCCCAAGAAUCCUAACUGUAGUUGGUUAAGGGUGCUGGGAACUGUAGCUCUGGGAGGAGUAAUCCCAGAAUUCUUUAUUGCUGGGGAAGAGAAAUGACAUCAUGGAGGGAAGUUUCAAGGAUUAGGGUGAAACUGUAAAGCUCCCUUUUUAUUUUUGCUAUGGGAUGCUGCGUGCAUAUAAUUUUGUUAUAUAUAGGUAUGCAAUAUAUAUGUAUAGUAUUGAAAUGUGGGUUUUUAUGUUGUUAUAUUUUUGCUUUGCUAUGUUGUUGUGAAAUUGUUUUUAUAGUGCUUGUCUGAAAUGCACCCCCCUUUCUUUGUUGUAAGCCAGUUUGAGCAUGUGGCAAAGCAGCAUACAAAUGAAUGAAUGAAUGAAAUGAGGUUUCAAUGUCUCUGCCAGAAUUCAAAGAAACCUGAAAUCAACAACAAAUAGGACAACACAUUACUAGCCCACUAGACUAUGGAAUCAGUCUAAUGGCCUGUAACUUCUUGGGGUUUAUAGUCUGAAUUUAUAGUCUAAAUAGUAAUAGUUAUUAUGAAUUUACUAGUCUUCAUGACCACACUGAAAUGUAGCUCAACAUAUUUAUCGCCAUACAAUGGAUGCAUAGUUGAGACCAAGAAACAGCGAUCCCACUAGGUCUUUGUCUUUCAUACUAGUGCAGGGUGGCUGAAUUUGCCGAGCAGAAUUGUUGGGUGUGAGAAGAGUGCUUGCCUCUUCCCUCCCUCCCUGAUUCUACCAACAAAUGCUCCCCAAACAUUCCCCAACCUUUCUCUCCUCCAAAAAGACUGAUGCCGCAUGUUAGCCCAACUGGGAAGGAACAAGCCAUGAUCUCACACAGGUUUCCCAGUGUGCUACGUCAGCUCUUUCUGCACGAUACAUGUUUUUCCACUGACUCCUCGUCUUGCAUCUCAUACUUUGCCCUCUCCCAGCUGGCACGUCCCUCAUCUCACUAAGCCCAGGACGGCACCCUCUCUUUUUUGUCCUAAACACCACUUGCAAAAGACCACCAUUGUUAAACAGGCUGCCGUGUUUAGCACUGGAGGAAGAUGUUCCACCCCCCUCCAGGCUCCACAUCUUUCCUGGCCUGCCUCCAAUUCCGUCAGAAGCACCCAAUUAUCUUUAGUUAUUUUAGGCAAUUGUGUCAGCGAACACAGCAACUAGGUAAGGGAUGAGGGAGGUCAUGCAGCACUGAGGUACAACACAAAGCUUGUUUUCUUUUAUUUGUUGCUUGUUGAUUCAGUGUAUUGAAAUCUGAAAGGCUCAUUUCAAAGCUGCUGUUGCUCAAAUAAUAAUAGGACACACUGGCCUUUAAUACAAUUCUCUUCAGGGAACAAAAGCUUCUUUUGGCAAGGCUACAAGGGCCGCUUGUUGCAGGUUACACACAUCUUUCCAGUCAAGCACGAUUAAUACUACCCCCCCCACCCGCAACGCUCAUGACCCAGACAAGGAUCCUUUCAACUAUAUAAUGUUAGUAUUAUGCGCUCAGAAAUCUCAGUUUUAAAAUGGGCUCCUAAAAUGAAACCAUAAUUUAAUUAUUUCCCUGUAGCCUGUACCAUUUUGUUUCAUCACUGCGUGCCACAAGGCUAGUAGUUUACAGAAGGCAGUUACUGCCCUCCAGGAUUAUUUUGCCAGAUCCUUUUAACAUCUGUUUCUAAAAAGGACUUUAUUUGCAACGGCAUAAAGAAUAAUCAGAGACUUAUUUACCCAGAUAAAUCAGGAAUGAGUCAGGAAGCCUGGGGGGUGAGGUUAGCCAAACGGAGGGAAGUGAUGGCGACAAAGAAAAAGGAAGCAAGGAACAUUUUAAAGGCUGCUGAAAGGGGCUCCAAUGGUCCUGAAAGUAUUUUCAGGUGAUGACGCAAGACACAGAAAAAUAUAUAUAAAUUGCAUGGUGUGGGAUAUUGCCAGAGAAGAUUUGUGAGAAAUAAAUCCAAGACAUAUGUAAUUUUGCUUGGGUUAGUUUCAGUGAGAGCUGCAAGCAUUAGUGUAAUUGAAAGAUUAAUUUAUGAGGGGCAAUUUUACUCAGUGGUGUUGUGGGUAAAGGACACACCAUUUAAAAAAGGCUGUUUUGGUUCUGGUGUGUAUGUAAAACAAUCUAUUAAAGUGGUGCCUUUCAUUUAGUAAAUUGCCGUUUUUUUACACUUCCUUCAGUACCCCAAAAAGGUACCAAUACUGUGGUUUGGGCAAUUUGAAAUAAUUUAAAUUAAUUGCUUAAAAGGCAAGUCAAUAACCAACUAAUAAUAACUAAUUAAGGGACGUGAGUGGCGCUGUGGGUAAAACCUCAGUGCCUAGGACUUGCUGAUCGCAUGGUCGGCGGUUCGAAUCCCCGCAGCGGGGUGAGCUCCCGUCGUUCGGUCCCAGCUCCUGCCCACCUAGCAGUCGAAAGCACUCUUAAGGGGAAGUAGAUAA
rnacentral:lncRNA from 1 species